UACGUAGGUGGCGAGCGUUAUCCGGAAUUAUUGGGCGUAAGGGGUGCGCAGGCGGUCAAAUAAGUUUAAGGUGAAGGCGUGAAGCUCAACUUCAUCGAGCCUUAGAUACUGUUUGACUAGAGUACUGGAGAGGGUAGUGGAAUUCCAUGUGUAGCGGUAAAAUGCGUAGAUAUAUGGAGGAACACCAGAGGCGAAGGCGGCUACCUAGACAGAGACUGACGCUGAGGCACGAAAGCGUGGGGAGCAAAUA
rnacentral:rRNA from 1 species